rnacentral:misc_RNA from 1 species
GAUGAAGAACGCAGCGAAAUGCGAUAAGUAGUGUGAAUUGCAGAAUUCAGUGAAUCAUCGAAUCUUUGAACGCACAUUGCGCCUCCUGGUAUUCCGGGAGGCAUGCCUGUUCGAGCGUCAUUAAAAUCACUCAAGCUUAGGUUUACCUAUUGCUUGGUCUUGGAGAUGGAAGCCAAUUUAUUGGAAUCCUCUUCGAAAUUCAAUGGCGAAGACCCUUGCUCUCCCAAGUGUAGUAAUAACUUAUGACACUGAAGGAAGCGAGAAAUCUUCUGCCGUAACCCCCAUAUUUUCUAUGAUUGACCUCGGAUCAGGUAGGGAUACCCGCUGAACUUAAGCAUAUCAAUAAGCGGAGGA